ACAUUAAGUGAGUGCAUGGGUCUAUGACCUAUGAUUUGACAGCCAGUGGAUGUGCAAUCUGACUGUCAAUUCUGUAGGCCACAGAUGCGUCCAUUUUGUUACCACU